GAUGAACGCUGGCGGCGUGCCUAAUACAUGCAAGUCGAGCGCAUGGAUUGAGAGCUGGCUCUUAUGAAGUUAGCGGCGGACGGGUGAGUAACACGUGGGUAACCUGCCCAUAAGACUGGGAUAACUCCGGGAAACCGGGGCUAAUACCGGAUACCAUUUUGAACCGCAUGGUUCGAAAUUGAAAGGAGGCUUCGGCUGUCACUUCUGGGUGGACCCGGGUCGCAUUAGCUAGUUGGUGAGGUAACGGCUCACCAAGGCAACGAUGCGUAGCCGACCUGAGAGGGUGAUCGGCCACACUGGGACUGAGACACGGCCCAGACUCAUACGGGAGGCAGCAGUAGGGAAUCUUCCGCAAUGGACGAAAGUCUGACGGAGCAACGCCGCGUGAGUGAUGAAGGCUUUCGGGUCGUAAAACUCUGUUGUUAGGGAAGAACAAGUGCUAGUUGAAUAAGCUGGCACCUUGACGGUACCUAACCAGAAAGCCACGGCUAACUACGUGCCAGCCGCCGCGGUAA
rnacentral:rRNA from 1 species